CGAAAUAGUUUGAGCUAAACAUUUUGUAAUUUUAGUUGCUAGUAAUUGGUGUUGCAUAACCAAUUUUGGAAGUUUUGUUUAGGGGUGAUAGGCCAAUCAAAAACUAGGAUAUCUUGAACCUUAUUAAAGGUAUGUAGUACAUAUAAUACAUUUACUAAGUGAUUAGGCUUGGUAACAUUAUUAAUUUAUAUAAUUAUUUAUAUUAUGAUAUAAAAACCAAAUGUAAGCGCAAGUUAAUAUACUGCUAUAAUAGUUUAUAAGGAGUAAUUUGGUGCAGCCAAGCUUGAUUGCCUGUUAAUAAUGUUGAUAUUAGUACACAUAAUAUAUUUAUUUAAUGAACUCGGCAAUUAUGCUUCUCGGCUGUUUAUCAAAAACAUAACUGCGUGUAUUUAUACGUAGCGGUUUCUGCUCAAUGAUUAAUUAAAUAGCCGCAGUA
rnacentral:rRNA from 1 species